UACAUUUACAAACUAGAUAAAGUUAGUUACAAUAAGUAUCAUCCCUAUACGUCAUGGAUCCCAAUCACUGUUUAUAUUUGCUUGCGAAAUGCAACCCAGCAGUUGCGAAAUUAUUCCUUGACUCUUUUUGCGUGGCUUGGCAAGAUCACGCUUGAGACAUAUAUCUCUCAGAUCCAUAUUUGGCUUCGGUGAGAAUGGAGUUUGACAUUUAUAAAAUGUUUUUUUUUUCUUUUUAUCUAAUUCUAAUCAAAUAGCUUCUUUAACUAACGUGUUUUCUCUAAUAAAA